UUUCGCAAUGCCCGAAAGGGUGACGAAGCGACGCCGCGUGAGCGAAGAAGGCCCUAGGGUUGUAAAGCUCUGUCAGGGGUUAAGAAAUGUAGAUAGGUUAAUACCCUGUUUGCUUGACAAAAGCCCCAAAGGAAGCCACGGCUAACUCUGUGCCAGCAGCCGCGGUAAUACAGAGGUGGCAAGCGUUGUUCGGUAUUAUUGAGCGUAAAGAGCACGUAGGUGGUUCAGUAAGUCAGAUGUGAAAGCCUUCUAUUCAAAGGAAGAACGGCAUCUGAAACUGCUGAUCUUGAGUGUAGGAGGGGAGAGUGGAACUUCUGGUGGAGCGGUGAAAUGCGUAGAUAUCAGAAGGAACGUCGGCGGCGAAAGCGACUCUCUGGCCUAUUACUGACACUGAGUGUGCGAAAGCUAGGGGAGCAAACGGGAUUAGAUACCCCGGUAGUCCUAGCCGUAAACGAUGGGCACUAAGUAGAGGGGUUUUA
rnacentral:rRNA from 1 species